rnacentral:rRNA from 1 species
GACAGAGGAUGCAAGCGUUAUCCGGAAUGAUUGGGCGUAAAGCGUCUGUAGGUGGCUUUUUAAGUCCGCCGUCAAAUCCCAGGGCUCAACCCUGGACAGGCGGUGGAAACUACCAAGCUGGAGUACGGUAGGGGCAGAGGGAAUUUCCGGUGGAGCGGUGAAAUGCGUAGAGAUCGGAAGGAACACCAGUGGCGAAGGCGGCUACCUGGACAAAUACUGACGCUGAGGCGCGAGAGCGUGGGGAGCAAACAGG